CUUGGGCGUCCUGAAUUGUGUGAAAUAUGGAGUCCAACUAAUAGUAGAGUAUUCUUAUUGUCAGAAUUCAAGCCAAUUGUAUUGGGAUUUAGAUCCACUACGUAGUUGUUGUUUUUGUAUUGUGAUUUAAAGUUGUAACCUUUGAAUUUUUGGUUUUAAAAGAAGGAAGAGGAAGAAAACUGUGAAGGGUAUCAUGGCGCCUAGCACGAUUCGGAAGGCGAUUGGGGCGGUGAAGGACCAGACAAGCAUAGGGAUUGCGAAGGUAGGGAGUAAUAUGGCACCGGAGCUGGAAGUUGCGAUUGUUAAGGCGACUAGCCAUGAUGAUGACCCUGCAAGCGAGAAGUAUAUCCGAGAGAUUCUUCAUUUGACUUGUUGUUCGCGUGGCUAUGUCACUGCUUGUGUUUCAUCAAUAUCUAAGAGGUUAGGCAAAACCAGGGAUUGGAUCGUUGCCAUCAAGUGUUUGAUGCUUAUUCACCGUCUUCUCAAUGAUGGUGAUCCUGUUUUUCACCAAGAAAUUAUGUAUGCCACCAGGAGAGGCACAAGACUUCUCAAUUUGUCUGAUUUUCGCGAUGAGGCUCAUUCUAAUUCAUGGGAUCAUUCGGCCUUUGUUAGAACUUAUGCUUUGUAUUUAGAUCAAAGAUUGGAGAUGAUGGUUUUUGAGAGAAAGCAAAAUGGGGAUGGUGGAGAAAUUGAGAGAUAUGGGUCUAGAGAAGAAAGGUGGAGAUCUCCACCUGCCUCUAACAACAGAGGCUAUGAUUAUGGUGAGUUCAGAGAUGAGCCUGGUUAUGGAAUGAGGAAGUCCAGAUCGUCUGGGGAUGUGAGGGAGUCAACAGUACAGGAUCAGAAAGAUGUGACCCCAUUGCGACAAAUGGAACCCCAGAGGAUCUUUGGGAAGAUGAGUCAUUUGCAGAGGUUGUUGGAUCGGUUUUUGUCUUGUCGACCAACUGGAUUAGCUAAAAAUGAAAGAAUGGUGUUGGUUACUUUGUAUCCUAUGGUGAAAGAAAGUUUUCAGCUUUAUGCUGAUAUAUGUGAGGUUUUAGCUAUCUUGUUGGAUAAAUUCUUUGAUAUGGAGUAUGAGGAUUGUGUUAAGGCAUUUGAUGCAUAUGCUAGCGCAUCAAAGCAGAUCGAUGAGCUGGUGGGAUUCUAUAACUGGUGCAAGGAUAUUGGUAUUGCUAGGUCGUCCGAGUAUCCAGAAGUUCAGAGGAUAACAAGCAAGCUAUUGGAUACACUAGAGGAGUUUGUGAGGGAUAGGUCUAAGGCAACAAAAAGUCCCGAGAGGA
rnacentral:misc_RNA from 1 species